UGUUGGGCAUGUUUGAUGUCAACUGGAGUUAAAGAGGUGCUAUAUCAAAUACAUAAAUUGUCACUUCCCAUGCA
rnacentral:lncRNA from 1 species